AGUUCGGAUUGCAGGCUGCAACUCGCCUGCAUGAAGCUGGAAUUGCUAGUAAUCGCGGAUCAGCAAGCCGCGGUGAAUACGUUCCCGGGCCUUGUACACACCGCCCGUCACACCAUGGGAGCCGGUAAUACCCGAAGUCAGUAGUCCAACCUCGUGAGGACGCUGCCGAAGGUAGGAUUGGCGACUGGGGUGAAGUCGUAACAAGGUAUC
rnacentral:rRNA from 1 species